rnacentral:rRNA from 1 species
UGCCCGAAAGGGUGACGAAGCGACGCCGCGUGGGUGAGGAAGGCCUUCGGGUUGUAAAGCCCUGUCAGGAGUUAAGAAAUGUAGACUCGCUAAUAUCGGGUCUAUUUGACAAAGGCUCCAAAGGAAGCCACGGCUAACUCUGUGCCAGCAGCCGCGGUAAUACAGAGGUGGCAAGCGUUGUUCGGAAUUAUUGGGCGUAAAGAGCACGUAGGUGGAUUUGUAAGUCAGACGUGAAAGCCUUCUGUUCAACGGAAGAAUUGCAUCUGAAACUACAAACCUUGAGUGUAGGAGGGGAGAAUGGAACUUCUGGUGGAGCGGUGAAAUGCGUAGAUAUCAGAAGGAACGCCGGCGGCGAAAGCGAUUCUCUGGCCUAUUACUGACACUCAGUGUGCGAAAGCUAGGGGAGCAAACGGGAUUAGAUACCCCGGUAGUCCUAGCCGUAAACGAUGGGCACUAAGUAGAGGGGU